GGGGUGAGCCGGUCGUGCGGCGGCAGGUGGUUUAAUCGUUGAAACGCGGAGAGGCGGCCGACGUUUGCGACAGCAGCGGAGCGGAGGGGGACGGCGAGGGGUGCGGAGUGCGCCUCUAUGCCGGCGUAGACCCGCGUAGAGCAACGCGACUGCGAGGCCGCGGCGGCGGGGUCGGACGGCGUUCAGCGGCCGGGGCAGUCCGAGGCGCAGGCCGGAGGCCGUACAAGCGCGGAUGCCAACGACCCUUAGGCAUGCGGAUCGUCGCUUAACUAUUCAGGGAGGGUGGAAAACAAACGAGAGAUGUUUAAGGCAUCCUUAGGUUUUAACCAACUUUAGAACGCUGAUCAAUCGUAGACGUUAGACAGGCAGAGGUGGAAAAAAAAUCACCCGUACUAACGUCGCGUUCUAGUGAUUCUUUGCUGUUUCGACUUAUGAAGCAAACCUCGUAUAUCGUAUAAUAUCGUCGUUGAACAUAGUCUCGUAUAAUAUAGUCGUAAGUCGGUGAUCAUAGACGACAAUCAUGAAGUUAACCUCGUAUAGUUUAAUUUAUCAAGCAAACGGACGUCUUAAUUGAUCAACUAGACCUAGUUCUGCUGCUGAAUAAGAGUAGCGUCCCACCCCCACUUCUGCUGAACCCGUCGGUAGUAUGUGAUUCGUAGGUUGAACACGUCCUUCACCUCUCGAACGUGGGUCACCACCACUUGAUCACUAGAACAACUCCUUGGAGGAUCAAAACGAGAGGCUCCGUUUUAAGUCACCGUCACCUUCUAGACCGCUCGUUCCUUCUAAGUCGUUGCUAACACCGCCACUACCGGAGGUCGUAGGUACUUAGGUGACGUCUUGGGGAGGACCAUUAGUACUUGGGGGACGAGGAUAGUAGUCGUACGAGACCGAGAACCGUCCUGAACCUCAAAGACGAGUUGUCCCCUUAGCUAGUUCACGUUGGAAGGUAAUACGGAUCAGUUCGUAAAGAACUGGACGAAUACCGGAUGCCGAGGCUGUCGACGUAGUUGUUUUCGCGCAGUUGCGUCGCUCAAAGGCUACUAUAGCUUCGUAAAGAAUUGGACGGAAGUUGACACGGCAGUGAGGACCUACCUCAGUGGUGACUUCCCCCGUGGCAUGAGGUACACCACCGGUGUAUACCGCUGUCACUACCGAAGAACUCCUCACACCUGUGGUAGGUAUCGUUCCGUUUUGUGGAAGACAAACGCGUUUUGUUAUUGCCGCUGUGCGGGGACGUGACACGACGUGCUCGACCCUACAAGGCCUACCAGAGAGUAGAGUAAUCAAACCGGUCUCUACUCUCAUGCUCACAAUUGUCUCACUUCCUUAAGCACCUUUACCUCUUGUUCGAAUUCCUCUGUCGUAACGUAGUCCGUCAGGUAUAACCCCUAUUACUGUAUCAGUUCGACGAUUACCUCCUUUUAAGUCUCAACCGGUCAUAAGGCUUUCUGCCGUGAAGUGGAGACAUGGACCGAUAGAACGACCUUCUCCUGUAGUAACGACUCUGUGAAAUAUCACGUUCAUUGUACAUCGAAAGGAUGAGGCCCGGAUUACCUGUCUUACGCAACGUACGGCGCCAAGAAGCUCCGUGUCUCGAAUGAUUUUUCCAGAACCUUACCUUGUCACUAGAGUGAUGUGUUUGUCUACUUUCGCCCUCAUGUGGAGAGGUAAAACGACGUCGAGACAAUCCCGUUUCAGAGGUUCCUUCACAUACGACGGUUCAUAACCUUCGAUUGAGUCGACGUAACAUAGUUAGUCUGGUGUUACCUAAUAAAGGUUAUGUGCAACGACGGAGACAACCACUUUCUCCCUGUUAGUAGUACAAAGAAUUGUUCAGGGGUUGGUCGCGGCCAAACGCGCUGUCGUACCCUUCCUGUAAGGAAGUACAUCGACGACUCUUUUUCUUUCAGUCCUAUCAGUCAAAACAAACGUCUUUAGCUAGCGAGAGUAGCUAAGACUUAUACGUCCUAUUACUACCUUUGUGACGUGAUGUGGAUCGAUAGGUCUGUCCCUCAGAAGGUUACAAAACACGAAACAAUCCAUUAGCCGUUUAUGCAAAUUUGAAUGGUUUAUUCUUUGCCGUUUGACGAGAUCUAUACAGUGUCAUAUUCUAGGGGAGUCCUAAAAAACUACUAGUCUUGUCACUUCGGUCCUAUGUGAAACGUGAAUUUCAGCAAUCACGAUCCUCACCACCGACAGCGGUCCUAGUGAAACUUCUUUUGAUGUUACUGGUCGAUUUUGUAAUACUUUUUCUUCUUAAUCGUUUCCACUUUCUAAGUUGUGUUUGUAACACAUAACGACAUCACGAUUAACGUUGAUACUGCAAACCACGAUGAAAACGGGAAGGACCUCCAAUGUCUCGGCUACUCGUAUGGUUACCUCCGUGCGGAUGUGAAAGACCCUCAAUACGAAAACUACGUAAGUAUUAUCGCUCGUGUGAGAGAAAGUAGAACAGACGCUACCGAUAUCAUCCAGAGUAUAUAAGACCUAUGAUGAGUGUGUCAGCGUUUUAAAAGAAUGAGCAUCGGAACAUAAAACCUCGUUGUAGUCAGUGUACAAAGUGUCGUCGAAAACGUGAUCCGAAUAUGUACCACGAUCGCGGUCAACGAGUAUUCACACGACAGUGAUAGACACAGUAAUAGGGGAAACAACAAGAUACGUUGUUUUAACUUAAAAACCAUUUCACCCAAGAAGACCGGGUAGUAAUACAUGAGCUUAACCCGAUUAAGCGUGUAACCAUUAUAAUCGUUGUUUUUAGGAAACGUUGGACGACUACCUUAAAACCGGGUAGUAUAGGUAUAAACAAACCCGGUGUAUAUAUUCCUUGAUCCGAAUAUUUACCUUGACGACUAUGUUUGAUAAUCGUGGGUACUGAUGAACUUCUACGUAGUUUACCUCUUAAAAAGCCAGUUCCACAAAAGCGGACUGGCAACCCAUAAAUCCUAAAUGACACGAAAAGAAUAUUCUUAUAAAUUAAUAAAAAUUCACAACACAGGACUACAUGGAAAUACAAGUUCUCAAACACGAGUAGUAGUACAUUUGUGACUAAAGGUCACGAUAUAUGUUG
rnacentral:rRNA from 1 species